UACGGGGGGGGCAAGCGUUGUUCGGAAUUACUGGGCGUAAAGAGUGCGUAGGCGGUUUCUCAAGUCCGCUGUGAAAUCCCCGGGCUCAACCUGGGAAUGGCAGUGGAAACUAGGAGACUUGAAUCUGGCAGAGGGGGGUGGAAUUCCACGUGUAGCAGUGAAAUGCGUAGAGAUGUGGAGGAACACCGAUGGCGAAGGCAGCCCCCUGGGCUGAGAUUGACGCUCAGGCACGAAAGCGUGGGGAGCAAACAGG
rnacentral:rRNA from 1 species